GACGAACGCUGGCGGCGUGCUUAACACAUGCAAGUCGAACGGAAAGGCCCUGCUUGCAGGGUACUCGAGUGGCGAACGGGUGAGUAACACGUGGGUGAUCUGCCCUGCACUUCGGGAUAAGCCUGGGAAACUGGGCCUAAUACCGGAAAGGAGCCAUUUUUAGUGUGAUGGUUGGAAAGUUUUUUCGGUGUAGGAUGAGCUCGCGGCCUAUCAGCUUGUUGGUGGGGUAAUGGCCUACCAAGGCGGCGACGGGUAGCCGGCCUGAGAGGGUGGACGGCCACAUUGGGACUGAGAUACGGCCCAGACUCCUACGGGAGGCAGCAGUGGGGAAUAUUGCACAAUGGGCGCAAGCCUGAUGCAGCGACGCCGCGUGGGGGAUGACGGCCUUCGGGUUGUAAACUCCUUUCGCUAGGGACGAAGCUUUUUGUGACGGUACCUAGAUAAGAAGCACCGGCUAACUACGUG
rnacentral:rRNA from 1 species